GGGGAAACCCUGAUGCAGCAACGCCGCGUGAGUUGAAGGCCUUGGGUUGUAAGCCUCUGUCCUAGGGGAAGAAAAAAAUGACGGUGCCCGAGGAGGAAGCCCCGGCUAACUACGUGCCAGCAGCCGCGGUAAUACGUAGGGGGCAAGCGUUAUCCGGAAUUAUUGGGCGUAAAGAGUGCGUAGGUGGUCUACUAAGCGCGAGGUGAAAGGCAAUGGCUCAACCAUUGUUAGCCUUGCGAACUGGCAGACUUGAGUGCAAGAGAGGAAAGCGGAAUUCCUAGUGUAGCGGUGAAAUGCGCAGAUAUUAGGAGGAACACCGGCGGCGAAGGCGGCUUUCUGGAUUGUAACUGACACUGAGGCACGAAAGCGUGGGUAGCAAACAGGAUUAGAUACCCUGGUAGUCCACGCCGUAAACGAUGAGCACUAGGUGUCGGACAUGAGUCUCGGUGCCGCAGUUAACGCAUAAGUGCUCCGCCUGGGAGUACGCACGCCAGUGUAAAACUCAAAGGAAUUGACGGGGA
rnacentral:rRNA from 1 species